AUAAUGCCGAUCAACGGUAUUUGGCUCGCAUAAUCGGUCCUCCGAUGUGCAAAUACCAAUCGCAUUUCUCGCAGAUAGAUCGAACGGUAACGAUGAUCAAUGAUCGUGCAACGUUUGUACAUCCGUAAUCGGUACGAUUCGUUUACGGAUUUUUCUCACGAUAUCUCGCGAAGGCGUCAAAGUGCUCGAAGAGAUAAUAAACAGCUUACGCCAAUCUACACGCGCAGUUAUCAAUUAACAAUAACGUAAAAAAGGAAAAUAAUUUACUCCGUCAAAUGAUAGUUGAAACGAUAGUUAAUUAUUAUUUAUGUACGUCCAUAUCAUAUAAUUUACGCGUAAUAUAAUAAUUGUCGAAAGCCAAGUGUUCAAAUGUCAGUCUUCGUGAAAAUUUCACAAAAUGUGAGAAGGAAUUGCGAACCGAACGCGAACCUACGCCGAAGUGAGCCACGAGUACUAAUAGUAGAAAAAGAAAUGGAAAAAAUCGAAUGAGCGAAGAAAAAGAAACUAAAGAAGAAGAAAAUAAAACGAAGAGUCCUACAGCGCUCCAAGUAUCCGUCAAGGUCAUUCUUGUAAGCCUCCCACGCAUCGCGUGUUGCUUUUAUCAUGGGGGUACUGAUUCGUCCUUUGGGGGUAGAAAACUAUUAGAAAUCUUCGCGAUGAAUCCUAUAUACGUAGUAUAAUGUUGGAAGGUUUUACAGAGUCGAGGGAAUGCGAUAGGCGCAAAGAAAGCGACGCACUCCGAUGAAGAGAAGAACGAAGUAACGAGGUAAGACGGCACGACGGAGAAGAAGUGUAGUCCAAUCGGCGAUAGAUGAGAAACGCCGAAGAAAGAAAGAUAGUCAAAGAAGAAACUGUUGGAUGGUGAAUAACGAAGAAACAGAGAGAUGAGAGAGAGAGAGAGAGAGAGAAAAGAAGAAUAAGUAGAAUGAGUAGAAGAGAAUGAGAGACCGAUCGUGUCUAGCCGAAGAAGAAAAGUGGAAGAUUAUCAUCUUUCUCUUCCUUUCUCUCGUUCUCUACCUUUUUCCCCUCUUUCUUUCUCACACUUUCUAACUCUUUCUCUCUCUUUUUCUUUCUCCCUCCCGUCACGUGCACCUGUCUUCGUUUACCUGGUGAAUGCCCCGCCCCGGCCAAUAGAGGUAGAGCGGGCCUCGUGACGUCAGUCACGCGUACCAGGAGGCCCUAGGUGGAGGGGCGAGAUCAUCCACCACCACCUUUGGAGGCCACGAAAGCCUCACGGGGACCAGCAGCUAGCAGCAGCCAGCGGCGGUGGUCUCGCCGGCCGUUUGCCGCGGGGUGGGGGCAGGAAGAGGGGUACUCCUGGACCUGGUCAGGCCAAAGAAACAACGCAGGAGUAUACCCACCGAAACCCAUCCUGCAUUUCCCACCACUGGCUCGUCCGGAAAACGUGCGCUAGCUUCCGGACGUCGUUCGUCCGAGUUCAGUCAAGUGAGUCGACUCGCACGUACCUCCUCUCCGACGAAAACGAUUGCAGAGGGUUCCACUCCGGAAAGGCGGGAGUGUGUUGGCUUGGCGCGUGCCGACGUGAAUUUAAAGGGCCCAGUACCGGUACCAGAGAGAGAGAACGUCGGUCAGUCGAGGAAAUUCGGCUUAGAAUUAAAUCUCCGUGAGAAUUCGACAGCACUUAGGAUGCAGAAAGAUCCCUUCUCGUAAAUUCUUCGAUUUGGUAUCACCAGUUGAUGAUAUCCCGGUGUGGUGACCGUAUGUCACCUCCUUACGGUAAUCAAAAGAGAAAAAAAGAGGAUCUUUUUUUUCGAUCCUCCGAGAGAUAGUAGCCUCGCCGUAGUUAAUUCGACGAUCCGUCGAUCGCUCGUGUUCCCCUGAGAUUCUCCCGGUGAACCAUCAUUUAGUUUUGAUCGGUCGCGCGCGGAGUUUAACAACGCAAUACGGGGAUCACAUCGGUGGUAAGAGUGCGUGCACGGGGGGUGUGUGAUGCCCUGGUUAUGGUUAAGCGUGAGUGAGGUCAGUGGCAAGAGGCGGAGAAGAAGAAUCGGUAGCAGAACGUCAAGCGGAUUGUCACCCUCGUCAUCGUUGCUGCUGCUGCCGCCGCCGCCGUCGUCAUCGUCGUUCUCCCAGCCGUUCUGGAGACGACGAGAGCAGUGACCGCGCAAGGUCGACCUCGAGGCAGAGGCACGCGAUUAUGGUGCACCAUUAUCAUCGUCGCCGCGGCCUCCAGGCGACCCACCACUAUGCCAUUGGGAGUCGCGUAGGCACUUCGCUCUUCCAGGUUCUUCUGUUGCUCCUCAGCCUCUGGCUGCCCGUGCUCGAUAACAGUGGCUUUGCUUUGGCGUGCGGACCCGGCAGAGGCGCCGGCCGACGGCCGAACCUGAGAAAGCUUACCCCUCUGGUCUUCAAACAGCAUGUGCCAAAUGUCAGCGAGAACACUUUACCGGCGAGCGGACUCAGUGAGGGACGGAUUACUAGAUAUGACCCCAGGUUCCGAGACCUGGUACCCAAUUAUAACACGGACAUCAUCUUUAAGGAUGAGGAAGGCUCCGGUGCCGAUCGUCUCAUGACACAGAGGUGCAAGGAGAAACUUAACACUUUGGCGAUCUCGGUGAUGAACCAGUGGCCCGGAGUGAAACUGCGAGUUGUCGAGGGUUGGGACGAGGAAGGCAUGCAUGCGACAGAUUCCCUGCACUACGAGGGACGUGCCGUCGACGUGACGACGAGCGAUCGCGAUCGCUCCAAGUACGGGAUGCUGGCGAGACUCGCUGUUGAGGCUGGUUUCGACUGGGUCUACUAUGAGUCCAGGUCGCACAUACAUUGCUCUGUCAAGUCUGAAUCAUCUUCAGCGGGCAAAUCUGGUGGUUGCUUUCCCGGGAGGAGUCUGGUCCGAACGGAGGACGGUAGUACGAAGAGGUUGGACGAUGUGCGUCUCGGCGACCGUAUCGCCGCUGUGGACUCCCGUGGCGACGUGGUGUACAGCGAGGUGAUCGCUUUCUUGGAUCGUUCUCCAUCCGAGAGGAGACAGUUCAUCCGAUUGACGACCAAGUCUGGCCGAGUGCUCACGUUAACGCCAGCGCACUUGGUGCCGGUGGAGGGUGGUUCGGUGUUUGCCGCCAACGUGCAACCCGGCGACAAGAUCCUCGUGAGCGACGCCGAUGCAGCGAGCACGGCGAACGAGGUGGAUAGUCAUUUGCGAUGGGACAGUGUCAACGAGACGAAAUUGGUCAUCGAGGAAGGAGUUUACGCUCCGCUUACGAUGGAGGGUAAUCUCCUCGUAGACGACGUCGUAGCAUCCUGCUAUGCCAUCGUCAACAGUCAGUCGCUAGCACAUUACUCCUUCCUACCGCUAAGGAUUUGGCACAGCGUGACAUCCUUUUUCCUGCAAAGGUUGGACGACGCAAGACACUUUGCGACAAGACAUAACGAUGUGUCCAGAACAGAGUUGACGACAAUGAGAGGAGAGCAAGAGGGCAUCCAUUGGUACGCAUCGAUGCUUUAUUCAUUGUCCUUCUACGUGUUGCCAUUUAAAAUGAUCUACAACUGAGGUUCGAUGGAAGCAAAAGAAUUCGUGCAAAAUGUAGAGCGGAUCCUCAAGGACAAAUUUAAGUGUUCAGUGCGAAAUUCACGUUCUAAAGACUUUGAAGCUAUGAAACUUAGGUGUUGAUUAAUCAUCGGGACGUCGCCUUGUCUCUCGAAACUUUUUUUUAUGGAUCGUCGUUGUGAAUUCCGGUUACACGAGUGUUGUUGAAGAUAGUUAAUAUCUGACCGUGGGGAUGGAGUCACCAUUCCGAGAGAAAUGCAUAUAUUUAAUACGUAGAACAAAAGACGUCGUCGUAGGCGAAAGACAUAAAGUUGGCCAGUGACCUACUAGUGUUCACCGAAUGACGUGUAGCAUAUAUUAGAUCUUUAGGACAAUAGAAAAAUAGAUGAAAAACAGAGCUUUAGGGAGAAUCGGGACUUUUCUCUUCCACGUUUUAAAUGUAUGUAUACAAUAUACUGACAUACAAAUAUUUCUUUUCUAUAUUUUUUAAUAUUCGCGAUUCGUGUGCAUCUCGUCCGAUAUACUUGUUUCUGAGAUAUCAAAGGAAAUUACCUUUGUGUCAUGGAAAAAGUGUGUAAGAUAAUUGCCGACUGUUCUAUUGUAAUGUUAUUCCAAAUAAUCUUCUGGAUGUACAUGCGAGCAACAAGAAAGCGUCUGUAUUUAAAUAUUCUAAAAGAUUAAUUUGUAUAUACCCCGCUUUUUUAUGUUUCCUUCUUGUUGUACGCAAUGAGAAGGGGAUGAGACCUGCUUCUUUUAACAUUGCUUGUAUCUCAUAAUUUAAUGUAUCCAAAACUGUAAUUAUGCGUCCGUUCAGUUGAGGUGCACUUUUUUUCUUUUGAAAAAAAAUUAGUAUAGAUUUGGACUUUCAAAAGUGCAAAUGAAAGAAAGUGCAAAAAAAUGCGACUAAAAAAAAUAAAUAGAUAUUGUCACCCUCGGUUGUGGCAGUAACUAUCGAGUACCGCUGUAUAAUAAUAUUAAGUCGCGUUGCUCUU